ensembl:lncRNA
GUAACUAUGCUCUUUGUAGAAUGCACCUAAGUAACCAUGACAACUUCUGUAAUCUGUCGUCAAAGGAGCAUAAUGGACUCAGAAAGCCCUGCCAGACUCUUUGUGCCCCCCCCAACACCCACUGCUCUGCUUUGUGUAAAUCCUGCUUGCUGUAUUCCCAGUGAAACGCCAAUGGAAUUAACUUUCAUAGAUGUAAAAAGAGACAGACCCUGUACUUAAGGGAGCCCUAGAGGGAGACUGGAAAGCCAGAGGAAGGAGUUGGUACCUUCCCCUUCUUGUUGCUGAUUAGUCUCUUCAAAAUCACUGCACAACGAUUCUUCAUCCAGCAGCAACAAUUCACUCCUGUUUCAGGGAGACAAACCCAGGCUAUUUGCAGCGACUGGAGGCAGCCUGUAAUAGGUUUGGAAAGGAGCUUUUAAAAUCAUUGGAAUUUCCCAGAGCAUCUGUUACCUACAAAUCCCUUGGUCCACACCUGAGUUCAUGUUAAUGAGAUGGUUUUGAAUAGAGAUUGGAUACCAGGCAGGCCAAUGUGUGAAAAGAGGGCUGGUGCUUUGAGCCCCAGGAGGGUGAAGGGGUGGAGAUUGAGUUAUCAGUUAUGCCUGCAUAAUGUGAAGCUCAUUAAGCUUCUUGGCUGGUGAACACAAUGAGAAGAAGAAUAUGUCAUGAUCCACCCACAGAGAGGAUCCGCAUGCAGGACCCACCCAGACCUCACCCCCUGAUUUCCCUUGAGUGCAGAGAAGGGAGAAGGACUCAGAACCACAUAAAUAAGACACAGAAUGGCUGUGAAUGCCCCCGCUCAUCACCUGUGGGGCCACACAACCUCACAGUGAAGAACAUGGCCAGCCACGUGCAUCCUCAGGCACCUUCUGCCCUGUCUCCACCUCUGUCAGGCUGUUUGCCUCUGUACCUUUCUGUUUGCCUCUUCUCUCCUUCACACAUGUGCUCAAGGGUAAGUAUGCUCACACACACUCACAAACACAAACACACAGUCAGGCAUACCAUCCUACCCAAGUGAUUGCAAAUCCAAAC